UUCGUGCCAGCAGCCGCGGUAAGACGAACCGUGCAAACGUUAUUCGGAAUCACUGGGCAUAAAGGGCGCGUAGGCGGCUUUCUAAGUCAGGGGUGAAAUCCGGCAGCUCAACUGUCGCAGUGCCUUUGAUACUGGAGAGCUCGAGGGAGGUAGGGGUCUGUGGAACUUCCGGUGGAGCGGUGAAAUGCGUUGAUAUCGGAAGGAACGCCGGUGGCGAAAGCGACGGACUGGAUCUCUUCUGACGCUGAGGCGCGAAAG
rnacentral:rRNA from 1 species